rnacentral:rRNA from 1 species
GACGAACGCUGGCGGCGCGCCUAACACAUGCAAGUCGAACGGGAUCUUUUAGGAAGCUUGCUUCUUGGCUGAUCUAGUGGCGGACGGGUGAGUAACACGUGAGCAACCUGCCGCGGAGUGGGGGACAACGUCUGGAAACGGACGCUAAUACCGCAUAACAUCACCGGAUGGCAUCAUUUGGUGAUCAAAGGAGAAAUCCGCUUUGCGAUGGGCUCGCGCCCGAUUAGAUAGUUGGUGGGGUAACGGCCCACCAAGUCGACGAUCGGUAGCCGGACUGAGAGGUCGAGCGGCCACAUUGGGACUGAGAUACGGCCCAGACUCCUACGGGAGGCAGCAGUGGGGAAUAUUGGGCGAUGGGCGAAAGCCUGACCCAGCGACGCCGCGUGGAGGAAGAAGGUUUUCGGAUUGUAAACUCCUGUCUUCGGGGAAGAUAAUGACGGUACCCGAGGAGGAAGCCACGGCUAACUACGUGCCAGCAGCCGCGGUAAUAC